rnacentral:misc_RNA from 1 species
AACCAUAGAAACCUGCGGAGUACCUGCGGAGGGAUCAUUACAGAGAACCUGCCCUUUGAGGUAGAUCUCCCACCCUUUGUUUACAAUACCUCUGUUGCUUUGGCAGGUCCGUCUUACGACCACCGGCUUUGGCUGGUCCGCGCCUGCCAGAGGACCUCAAACUCUGGAUUUUUGUUGUCUGAGUUACCAUAAAUAGUUAAAAAACUUUCAACAAUGGAUCU